UAGGCGAAGGGAGGGGUCCCGGCGCCAUCUUGGCCGAGGGAGGGCGGGCCGGGAGGGCCGCCAUCUUGCAGCGGGGCCUAGCUGUUGUAGCCGCGGCGGUGUCUCUUCUUCGGUUCCCUCUGGCCGCCGCAGGCGAGCUGCUCGACCUUCUCCCCGCCCUCCCGCAACGACUCGUAGCUGGCGUCAGUCUGUGUGGUUGUGAGACGCUUGUCACGCCGCCUGACGGGUGCCUUAUUGCUGUAGGAACUAGGCAGCCCUCAGCCUGAGGCAACGGCACGCGUGAGCCCCUGAACCCGUGAGAGCCGAUUUUACGUGCAUAAGCAUUCAGGCUCUUACGUGGCGGGGUAACGGGAUCAUCUGAGGUGAAGGGCGAGCAGACUCACCAGAGGGACUCGUCAAAGCGCUUAAGAUGCUUUGAAACUGAAAUUGCAGCCAGGAAACAUUGCAGUUACCCAGCCGGGGAGGACUCCGAGGCAGAAUUAAGGUACAGCUUCGUCUCUGGGGCCUGAUCCUGCAGCUCUCAGUCACGAGAGGAGUCCUGGCUUGAGCGGUCCUCCUGGCUCUGACUGGGCAGGUUUUAAAGCAUCUGUUUUGUUCCCUAAAAAAAACGCACACCAAAGUAUCUCCAGAGAAACAUCUGUAGCCACACAGCUCCCAACGCAUUGUUGGACUCUUUGAUCUGCCUUUGUCCUCUUGAACUUCACACGUAGGAAUGAUGUAGCCUUUUCCACUAUGUCGUAAGAACAGAUGUUUUAAAUUCAAGUUUCAGCAAAGCAGUCAAACAGCCUUUGUAAACUUGAAAGUUGGAAUCAAGUUUCCUACACUCAUCUUCCCUUUGCAGAUGGAAAGCAGAGUGGGUGCCACUGGGGACUCCAAGGUGCUGCUGCAUCAGAACAACGUUGCUUUGCCUUCACAGCCGAGACAAACUGUGUCAUUUUAUUGGCCUGUUAGACCCUGAAUGAGCGUGCGUAAGUCUGAGAGCCAGAGAAGGGAACACCAACACGUUUUCCUUUCCACCACUAUAUACACACAUAGGAAGUGUCAUCAGACAGCAUUUCUGUACCGUACGCUGUAACGCGGGUAUGGCGCACAAAGCACUGUCUGUGAGCUUGCUGGUUAUAGAGUGAACUACUACUGUUUCUCCAUUUUCACCAUAUAAAGAACAGUAACAAAAAUCCUUCCUUUACAGCCCUGUGGGGUUUCUCUUUCCUCCUAUUUGUUAUAAUCUGAACCACCAACUUAAGCAUCUAGUACUUCUGCAGCUCACAAAGCAAGCUGUGGGCAUGGUCCUGGACAUAGUCUAGCCACUCACAGAGACACUCUGUCAUUUAUUGCAAAGGCCUGGACCUAUAUGCAAUGACUGGAUGAGCUAUAACUACAGAAAUACAGUAAGUUAUUGGAAGAGCGGAGGAUUUUUUUUUUUUUAAAUAAAUCAGGAAGAGUUUGUUGAUGGAUUGAUGAUUGACACUACUUAGUUCUGCUGCCAAUAAUAAAUUUUAUAUUGUAGCUGCCCUUGAAGCAUAGAUUUAUCUUCUUUCCCUUCUUCCACAGUGCCUGCUACAGACUGUGUGGCACCAAUGAUUACAUGUAAUCGCAGCUGGUGUCUCUCCUUCCUCAACCCCAGCAGAAACGGCAACGUGCCCCGUAGGAUGAGAAACAGCCAUAUACAUGCUACAGAACUAGCGAAGUCGUCAUUAACCAUGUUGUUCCAGUCACCGUAAAACCCCGUAUGUCAGUGAUUUAAACAGAUUCACGCAGGUAUGAAGCAUGUUAUCCUUAGCAGCUAAUCCAAUAAAGAAACAAAAAUA